AGCGAACGCUGGCGGCAGGCCUAACACAUGCAAGUCGAACGCCCCUUCGGGGGAGUGGCGGUCGGGUGAGUAACGCGUGGGAAUUUGCUCUCUGGUACGGAACAACUGAGGGAAACUUCAGCUAAUACCGUAAGUGCUCUCCGGGGCAAAGAUUUAUUGCAAUUGGGGCAGCCCGUGUUGGAAUAGGUAGUUGGUGAGGUAAUGGCCCACCAAGCCGACGAUUCAUAGCUGGUCUGAGAGGAUGGUCAGCCACACUGGGACUGCGACACGGCCCAGACUCCUACGGAAGGCAGCAGUGGUGAAUGUUGCGCAAUGGGCGAAAGACUGACGCAGCCAUGCCGCGUAAAUGAUGAAGGUCUUAAGAUUGUAAGAUUCUUUCACCGGUGAAGAUAAUGACGGUACCCUAAGAGGAAGCCCCGGCUAACUACGUG
rnacentral:rRNA from 1 species